rnacentral:rRNA from 1 species
CGUAGGGACCAAGCGUUGUUCGGAUUUACUGGGCGUAAAGGGCGCGUAGGCGGCGCGGUAAGUCACUUGUGAAAUCUCUGAGCUUAACUCAGAACGGCCAAGUGAUACUGCAGUGCUAGAGUGUGGAAGGGGCAAUCGGAAUUCUUGGUGUAGCGGUGAAAUGCGUAGAUAUCAAGAGGAACACCUGAGGUGAAGACGGGUUGCUGGGCCAACACUGACGCUGAGGCGCGAAAGCCAGGGGAGCAAACGGGAUUAGAUACCCCGGUAGUCCUGGCCCUAAACGAUGAAUACUUGGUGUCUGGAGUUUUAAUGCUCCGGGUGCCGUCGCUAACGUUUUUAGUAUUCCGCCUGGGGAGUACGCUCGCAAGAGUG